UCCCCCUUCAAUGGGCAACGGGGCACCUGGUUGGUGGUGUUGUUCUUAGAUCAGUCAGGGGCAGAGCAGAUGGCAAUCCUUUGCUCAUUCUAGUUUGAUGCCUAGCUUGGUGGCCAAAGAUGUUUUAUGCUUAAGGCACAUAA